GUAAUAACUUUGGCAGCACAAAAAUUAAAAUUGGAAUGAUACAGAAAAAAUUAGAAUGACACCUGUGCAAGGAUGACAUGCAAAUUUGUGAAGUGUUCCAUAUUUUG